AGGGAGGCCGUGCAGCGGUGCAGGUUUCCAGGGGUCUCACCCGCAGGUGAACCUUCCUCCAUCCGCGCGGCUGUUUCUCCCCGCUCCCCUUAACUUCCUGCCAGCUGCCUAUCAGUAGGUGAGGCUCUACUUGCUUACCCUGAUCUGUCCAUCUCUGUUACUGCUCAACACCUGGGGAAAGAACCCGAAGAGCUCUUAGGAGAGAUUGGAGAUAAAGUGUGAGAGCCCUGGGCACAGACGCACAGACACAACACGGAUCCAGAAAAAGAUGCUAAUGGGUAUUUCCACAGCCUGAUUCACUUAAGCAAGGGGAAAAUCAAGGCUGCUUGAAAAAAUGCCCACUUUCCCAUAACUGCCUGCAACUUUCUUUAACUUUUGUUACAGUCUUUUAACACUCCUUUGUGUUUCGGAUGAGGCAAAUAUUAUCAGCCUACACUAAUUCUGACAAUAACUAAAUACUAAAUUCUUUGGCAAGGGGGCAGAAACAAAACUGACACAGGUUUGUUUUUUUUUAAAGCUUUCAGGACCAAAAAUCAGGUACAUGUCUGAGUAAAUCCUUGUUAUUUAAAUACUGGUGUAAUGGUGUGCUCUGGAAUGGCAAAAUUUCCUUAAAUUCCAAACCUUGCACACAUUUGCCUUGGUCACCACAGAUUCUUGCAACCAAGUUCUGGAUGCAAACAGUGUCACAGAGAUCUCUGGAAAAUGCUCUUUGGCAGCAGGUUUGGGAACUUACAGUGAGAAGAAGUGCUCACUAGCAGAACUUGUGUAAAAAGAGGGAUAUGCUACUUUCAGAACUUUUAACAGCUAUCUGCAUUUAUCUGUACACAUACUUGGUAUCACCGUGAAAAUAAAAACAGUUUCUGUUAAGAUCUGAGGAAGUGAAAGAAAGACGGGAGGAGAGAAAAUAGCCUGUGCCUUGGCCAGGACAGAAGCAGCAGCUCUUUGCCUCUAAGAACAUUUUAAGAUUAUCCUGCCCAUCAGAAGGGUCCAGAUUCCCACCUGAUAAAAGGGAGAGCAACAAUUCUUGAUUGAGAGGAGAUACCUUAGGGUCACGUCUCUGCAUCAUUUCCCCAUGUUUCACUGCAUCAGGGAAAAGAGGACAGAGAGAGCGACUUCCUUCUGGGGUAGAGUGGCCUGGGGCUGGACCAGCAUGCAUCCAGGCCACGGCCAUCACUCCACCCAUCACAUCCUCCAUCAGCAGCUCCACUUCAGUGCUGACGAACACAGGGCUGUAUGCUUUGACUUAUCCUAGACAUAGGUUAGGACUGAUUUACAAGAGGUGAGCAGAAACGGGUGAGUGCUGAGAUACACAGUGUCUUCUGAGAAUUCCCUGCUCACUGGACUAAUAGGUGGAGACAUGUGAAGCUUGUAGGGCUUUAAAGUUUCUCAGUCAGACUGUGCUAUGCUCGGUGUUCCCACUUCGGCCUAGGAUCAAGAUCUCUGUUGUCUUCCUUGGAAGGACCCUGGGUCAGAAAAGCUGGUAUACAAGGCAGCAAGUACCCAUUUCCUUUAGUAACUAGGGUGGGCUGGCAUUUGUCCAGGUGAGGUGGCCAGUAGAUACGUCUUUAACAGGCUCCCGGGGGGCCCUAAUUCAUAUGUCUCGCUGCUGCCUGGCUCUGAACACUGGUGGCACAUUGCAUGGGACAGUCCAGUGGCUGGUGCAGGCUGUCAGACGGGAUGGUCACUGCAGGUUCAUGCCAGCAGAACAGAAAUGUGUUCAGUUCGUCACUCAGGUUUUUAAUGAAUAAAAACCUCUCACCUCAUCUUUUUUUUUUUCACUGUCUGUCUUCUCAACAUUAGAAAAGAGGCAGUAUAAUCACUUCUCCUUGCCUUGACAGGGUGAUCAGACUUGGUAAUUUAAACUCUUUAAGGAACCCUAGAAUUUUGAAGCAUUGUUUCAUGUACUCAUUAAAGAACAAAGACCUUUUCUAAAAUAAAUGGGCUUGGGAUUUAGACCACAGAAGUCUAGAUCUGCCUUAGACCUAACCUUAGAGCAGCCACAUUUUGGGAAAUUUCCUGUGGACACAGAGGGAAGUGGCUCCAUUUGCUGCUUGUGAGGACGAGAGAGAUUGCAGACCUUUCUGUGGGAUGAAUCGUGUCUCCAGAGCUCAGCCCCACCCACAAUUUGUAUGCUGAGUUCUUCACUCCUGAGGCCUCAGAAGACAGCUGUUUAGGGAAUUAAGGCUUUUAAAGAGGAAACUGAGAUAAAAUGAGGUCAUCCAUGUUCUGAUGUAUGGCCUUACAGGAAGAGGAAAUUAGGAACCAGACAACUCAGAGGGUGAGAGGUGCCUGGGUGGGGACACGAUGAGAAAGAAACAUCUGUAAGAAAAAGAGAAAGGAGUCAAACCAGCCAGCACCUUCAGUUUGAGCCUCUACCCUCUGGAACUCGUGAAAACUUUCUGUUGUUUAAAGCACUCAGCCUGUAGUGUUUUAUUAUGGCAGUAGUUUUCUCAGAGCAAAGUAAUACAGAUUUGAAAGUGCCUGGUAAUUUAUAUACAAAAGCUAGUUAUGAUCAUUAUCACUUUGGAGAACAUUCUGAAAAUGAGAAUGAAGGAGGAAAUGUAUGCUGAAGGAUCUGGGGAAAUGGCCCUGGAAAUUCAAAGCAACAUAGUACAAAUGAAAAGGUAUUGAAGGCUGACGGUGUUGUUGGGUGUACCGAUGAAUAACGCUUACUUUUUGAUGUCAAUAUAAAAAGAAGGAUGUUGAAAGACUAAUGAAGCUCAUGGAAAAGGACCUGCUUCUUGUUGGGCAGAUGAGGGUGCAAGUGGUUUCAUAAAAAUAAAAUGGCAUUUAAUGCUCUCAAACUAAGACUUCACUGAAAAACUGAGGUGGGGUACAAAAGGGAACUAACUUAGGGGUGCUGACACACGAUAGUGCACUGUGUUGCUGGGAUAAAUCACAAGAUGUACCACCAAGACAUAAAACAUGUCAGAGAGUGUUUGGAGACAGGGUCAAAAAUAGGAUGGUGUUGAUUUGUGAUGAGUUUUUAAUGUUGUGAGAAGGCAUUUGGACUUUAUUGUAUGGGCAGUCAAAAAGGGAUGUGUGUGUGUGUGUGUGUGUGUGUGUGUGUGUGUGUGAAUUCUGUCAAUGGUUCUUUACUUUCUUCUUUUAUCUAUUUUUCUCGCUUACAUCUCCAUACAUUUUCGUGGACUCCAAGUGCCUUCUCUCUCUUAAGUCUACAGGUUCUAUCAGCCAAAUGUCUCCGUAGAGGUCACCUUUCCUGGAAUUUUAAUUGAUUUUCUGAGGGUCCAUUCUUGAAAAGUAAUUGAUAUACUAGAAAUACAAGACUCUGUGCUAGGUUUAUCACCAGUUUGAUGGUUCUUUUUAGGAUAAGUCAUUUUUGUAAUUUGUCAAGAGCUGAUAAUAACAGUCACUCACAGAGGCCUUGUCCACCAAUGUGUUUAGGCCAAAACAUCAAUUUACUGGGUGAAUAAAGUGCAUCUAAAAGCU